UUAGUUGCCAUCGUUCAGUUGGGCACUCUAGCGAGACUGCCGGUAAUAAACCGGAGGAAGGUGGGGAUGACGUCAAAUCAUCAUGCCCCUUAUGACCUGGGCUACACACGUGCUACAAUGGUUGGUACAACGAGUUGCGAGUCGGUGACGGCGAGCUAAUCCCUUAAAGCCAAUCUCAGUUCGGAUUGUAGGCUGCAACUCGCCUACAUGAAGUCGGAAUCGCUAGUAAUCGCGGAUCAGCACGCCGCGGUGAAUACGUUCCCGGGCCUU
rnacentral:rRNA from 1 species